rnacentral:misc_RNA from 1 species
CAUGUUCGCCUCUUGAAUAAGCGCUCGGCAUUAAGCGAAAGCAACGACUCCUCGAGAACUCCGUUGCUCCAUCCCCCCACGUAUUCGAAGACGUCAUCGUAUUGUGGAUUCAACUUUUAUCGACUUAGUGCGCCAUGUCACAAGACAAGACGACGAGCGUAGUUCCAGUACAGGUGUAGGAGAACGCUGGGAACCGUUUCAUGAGUGGGAGAGAUUCAUGAAGCUUCGUCUUGGAAAGCAAAGAUACCUUGACUCACGACGUGGCCACGAGCACCGAAGGUGAGGGAUAUAUGGAACCUCCGCACGGAAAUGGCUACGCCAUGAAGGCCAACGGCAUAGGAAAGUGCCCGAACAUUUGCGACGUGAACAAGGACGCGUCACCACCGGGGCCUGAUGGAAGGCUGAGCUGGGCCAUUGCGAUCACUUGCUUUCUGAUUAACUUCAUCGCGGCCUUCUUCUACCGCUGCCCCGGAAUGUUCUUCAACUCCGUCAUGGACACCUUCGACGCGACCCGAGGCGAUGCGUCCGUGCCCGUUUCUUUGUACGGGGCAUUCUACAACAUGGCCGGAGUCGGCCACGGCAUGGUCUUCAGCUGCAGCAUCGUGGCCGUGACCGGUUACUUCGACAAGCGCCGCGGAAUCGCUCUGGGCCUCAACAUGGCCGGCCCUCCUAUAACGUCGCUCUUGGUGCCCAAGCUUCUCGAGUGGCUCCUAGGCGAGUAUGGACUGCGCGGUACCUUUCUCAUACUGGGUGGCUGCAUGGCGAACGUACCUGUCCUUGGAAUUAUGCUGCGUAACCCUCCGUGGGAGGAUAGCAUUGGAAAAGCUGCUGUCGUUCAAGCGGAAGACUGCUUCGCUGAGGCUGUGAACGGCGGCAGUGAGCCUUUCCCUGUGCUGGUCAACCGAAACAACGAUGACCCUCUCGACAGAUUCAACGUGACAAGACGCCCCAUCUCAGGGAGUGGGAGGCGGCGGUCAACGGUGACAAGCGUCAAGGGCCUGGACAUAGGAGUUAACCGGGAUACAAUGGUCAUCCCUGGUCUAGUACAAGAUACCGGCGUCACUUGGAAGGACACUGCGUCCAGCGUCAACAUCGAUCGUCGUUUGUCCGCCAGAGCAUUGCCGCCGGUGCCAGAACAAUGCCCUUCCAUCCUAUCCAGGCGGAGUACGCUCGCUGGAAGUGUUGGGGCGUCGAGUCGACGGGCGUCUUCGAUCGCACGAGCGGUUUCACCAAGGAGCGAUGCAAUGGAACGAAGAGGAACCAUGAUGAGCGUGGCCGGAUCAAUUAUCGCAUCCAGAAGAGCAUCUCUGAACCAGGGGGGCGUGUUUUCGCGCCGGGGAACAACGAUAAGUGUGAUCGGUUGGUCCAUUCCCGAAAACGCCGAGAAGACAACUGUAGAGCCGCCGACGAUGACCACCGAGGCACCGUCCUCGGCACUGAGCAGCCUGAAGGAAGUUUGUGCUCGCCGCGGAUGUACUUCCAUACCUUUAGUUUCUUCACGUGCGCCUUCUUUGUGGACUCGUAUCUGACGGUCAUGUUCGACCUUGGCGAAGAUGUCGGAGUGCCCGUCAGCGAAUCGGUGCUCGCCCUGACUAUCUUGUCAGCCAUGGACACCGUCGGAAGGUUCUUCGUACCUUUCUUGACCGAUUACGGAGUCACGUCGGCCGCGUGCUUGCUUACUCUGUGCUACGUUAUGCUCACGGCCAUUUCGGCACUUAUGCCGUGCGUCUCGGGAAGGCUCGUGUUCUUGGCGGUGUCUGCCCUGCUGGGACUCCCCGCUGGCUACGUCCUGGUCGGAACGUCAGAAACUCUCUCCAAGGAACUAGGGACUAAAAACCUUCCAAUGGCGUACGGCGUCCUGGCGUUCACCGCUGCCUUAGGAGGCUUCGCUCGGCCGCCCGUGGUAGGCCUUUACCGCGAUGGACUCGGCUCGUACGACGGCCUUUUCCAACUCAUGGCAGGGAUGUUGCUGGCCUCGUCCCUGUUCAACGCAGGACUCUGGAUCUGUGGUCCCUCUUCCACCAGG